UGGGGAAUAUUGGACAAUGGGCGAAAGCCUGAUCCAGCAAUGCCGCGUGAGUGAUGAAGGCCUUAGGGUUGUAAAGCUCUUUUACCCGGGAUGAUAAUGACAGUACCGGGAGAAUAAGCCCCGGCUAACUCCGUGCCAGCAGCCGCGGUAAUACGGAGGGGGCUAGCGUUGUUCGGAAAUACUGGGCGUAAAGCGAACGUAGGCGGCUUAGCAAGUCAGGGGUGAAAUCCCAGAGCUCAACUCUGGAACUGCCUUUGAAACUGCUUCGCUUGAAUCCUGGAGAGGCGAGUGGAAUUCCGAGUGUAGAGGUGAAAUUCGUAGAUAUUCGGAAGAACACCAGUGGCGAAGGCGACUCGCUGGACAGGUAUUGACGCUGAGGUUCGAAAGCGUGGGGAGCAAA
rnacentral:rRNA from 1 species